UACGGAGGGUGCGAGCGUUGUCCGGAAUCACUGGGCGUAAAGGGCGCGUAGGCGGCUGGGGAAGUCGGCGGUGAAAGCCCGGAGCUCAACUCCGGGUCGGCCGUCGAGACUCCUCGGCUCGAGCUCACUAGAGGCAGAUGGAAUUCCGGGUGUAGCGGUGGAAUGCGUAGAGAUCCGGAAGAACACCAGUGGCGAAGGCGGCCCGCUGGGCAGUGGCUGACGCUGAGGCGCGACAGCGUGGGGAGCAAACAGG
rnacentral:rRNA from 1 species